GCGCAGGUGGUGGAACUGGUAGACACACCGGCCUCAGGAGCUGGCGGGCCGCGAGGCCCAUGCGGGUUCGAGUCCCGCCUUGCGCACCA
rnacentral:tRNA from 1 species